UUAUAUCUCAACACAGGACACACACACACCUCAAUCUCUCGUUCUCCCCACUCUCUCCCGAAACCCUCUCUUCGGCUCUCUCUCCCUCUCUUUUGCUCUCAACCAAAAACCCAUCAAAACAACAUGAAACCCACACAAACCCAUCUCCAUUUUAACUUCUAUAUGCAUUAUUGAGCCUUAAUUUCGUGGGUCAAGCUCGGGGAAGGAGGAACCGGCUGAUUUUGAAGUUUUGGAGGUUAGGGCUUUGUUUGAUCUCAUGAGUUCGGCUUUGAAACUUGAGGUACAAAUCAGAGGCUGUGACAUGGGUUGCUGUGCUUGCAUGCGAUCCUACAUUUUGAAAGCGACUUCAGAGAGUUAAUUUUGCAUCUCUUUUUAAACUUUAUCACCGGAUGAAGAAAUUGUAAUCUUAUUAUUAUUAUUAUUUUUAUUA